CCAGGCAGCACCCGAAGCAUGUGAACCGCACACCUCUGAGCCCUGGCACCACCAUAACAUGGACAUAGUAGUACAUGUGGAAGAAGUUCCUCUUCUACUGUCUGCAAAAUGGCAGUGUCCUUUGCACCAUGUAUGAAACUCAGCGAUGAUCCCCUCCCUCCAGUGUUGAGUUCAACAGUCCUUUAGCUGCAUCAUGAUGUCUGGUUUGAUUUCAGAGGAGCUGAAUUACAUCAGCCGGUGACCUGCCCUCUGCUUCUACAUCCUGGAAGAACUGUGACCUAUUCUCCCUAGAAUACUGGGCUGUUGCCAUUCCUCAUUUGAAGCCAAGCAAAGCAUGGCUGUUCAUAACUGGGAUUUACUUUGCAGGGUAAGUUGUAAUGCACUGAAGUUGGUGAAGCAGUACUUGGUCUGAACCUGACUUUAUAUUUUUGGCUGGGCCAUACCUGAAGCAAAACUAGAGCAUGUUGCGAGUUGUCCAGGGCUGGAGCUGGCCUUUCUUUAUUGCUCUGCCCUGUACUGAGCAGCUGGGGCUCCUGGACUUCAUCAGGCCUCAAAGAAGAAUUGAAAUAGAUAGGCUAUUUUCAAGAUAGGCUCUCUGCACUACAGUGUAGGAUAAACCCAGUACGGUCAUCAGCCUAAAUCCUGAACUGAUACAGUGAUAUGUACUUUGAAAGAUUGGUGGUGGUGGCUGGCAGAUCCCAUCCCAUCCCGUCCCAUGCUGUCCCGUCCCGUCCCGUCCCAUCCCAUCCCAUCCCAUCCCAUCCCAUCCCAUCCCAUCCCAUCCCAUCCCAUCUCAUCUCAUCCCAUCUCAUCCCAUGGCAACUUCAUAGGCAACUCAGGCAGAUAAAAAAUGGCUCAGCAAACCAAACAAACAGGGUUCAUGUCAAAACUUCUCUUGACCUCAAAAAAGAACAUGGGUGCAAAAUGAGACAACUCAAACAGGGAAAACAUAAGUAUGUGGAUACUUGUGCUGCUCCUUUACUCUCCACUGGUCUGAUUUCAAUAACUGUGCUCAUACCUUGUUUUGUACAAAGUCAUUUUAAAUUCAUACAUUAAAAAACCAUGAGCAAGAACAAGAAGAACACCAUAAAAACCAACCAAUCAACCAACCAAAACCAACAACCUCGCCUGCUCAGUGUUGCUUCCACCACUUUCUAGCCCUUGCCCAUCUCCUUUGCAUUGGAUGCUGCUUGUCUGUUCUCUUGUCUGCCACCUCUGAAAUUAUCCACUUAUUUCUUGCACUCUCUUUCUUGGAAUUGCCUUUGCAGAAAUUCUCAUAAGCAGCUAUUCUUUGGGUCAGCAUUUCAAUUAUUUUAAAAUUGUAUAUUUCUAUUUCCUGAGUCUUUACUUAUUUAUUAUUAGUUAUAUUGAAUCUUUUUUUUGAGUGUUUGCAUUGAUUUUGAUAACUCUGUUGUGUGCUUAUCUGUAUAAAUAGAUCAAUAGCUUUUGGACUGUGCUUUCCAAAGCAACAGACUGAGAGGCUUGCUUCAAAUUUGAAAGCUUUUGUACUGAAUUUAUAAAUACGGAAAGCUAUAACCCAUAACAUUACUUCAAUCCCAUGCUAAAGUAAGUGGAUUUUGUACCUUUUCUUCCUGGCCAGUUGUAUUUAAGCAGUUGCCCAUCUCAGACCUCCUUUUUCCAUUCCGGGCACCCUCAGUUCAUCAGAAGAAAGGACACUACUGACAUCACGACGACACUCUUUCUGGAGUUGACAGGGUUGGGGUAGUUGCAGAAAAGGGAUAAUUUUGGGCUCCUUCAAGGGACUAAUCUAAAGGAAGAAUCUAAUAGGAAUCAGUCUUAAACGAGAGAUGCUCCCUACUCUUAAACUGCGGUAAAACAAACCCUCUUCUAAUCCAAUCCAAAUUAAAAUGGGGCACAAGCUAAGACUUUCAUUUCUAUUUCUAACUUGCUCAAGGAAAGUUGUCUUUGCACUGUCUUCCUUCAAGCCAAUUUUGGACUAAGUGAAAAAACAUAGUUCUACAAAAUCUCUGUGUGAAGCCGCCAGGAACACAGCAAGAUAAUAGUGUAGCAAGAUAAGGGGGAUUAAGAUUACUUCUGGGCUUUUUAAGAAAUAAGGGGUGAAAAAGUUAAUGGAACUCUCAACUGGGAGACAUUGCUGGGACCUGCAAGAUGUGACAGACCACACAAAACACAGGAGUUGUGUUGUAAGAAAUACCAUUGCAUGGCCAGCCUUUUCCACGUACAUUGAAGGCUGCUGAAUUCCAUGUGGAUUAUGGCACGGAGCCUUUAGGUGCUAUGGGUAACAAAACACAUUAUUUCCAGCUCAUGUGUGCAAAAAAGAAGUUGCUGAAAUACAACGAACUGGCCAUUAGCAAAAUGAAAAAUACAAUGGCUGGCAACAGAACGGAGUGAUCAUUGCAAGAUGGGCACCCUGACUCUUGUUGACUAUCCAUGAAUCCCUUGGAGGAUGAGCCCAGGAUUCUUGUGUAGAAUCUACCUAUUGAUUACACCACAUUUAAAAAGGUCUGAUGUUUGUCUUCCACCCACUUGUGACUUUUAUUGGCCACUUUGGUUCUUGUUUAAUGGAGGAAAUGUCUCUGGCAUAAACACAGCGGUGCCUCCUGCACUUCAUGCCCAAGAGCAGCGCAAAUUGAGAAUUUGAUUGUAUUGUUGUGGAAAUUAGAUGUUACUUUAAUCGCCAUUGCGAGUUUGAGUAGAAUAUUCUGUAAAGACAAUAUCAGCCACUGACAGUCUAAAUCCAGUGGAUGCCUGAUCUGGCUUGUACUGAAGCUGAUGGAGUAUUUCUAUUGUACUCAAUGGACGUUGGCCUCAGCCUCAAAAGCGUGCACUUCAGAUUGAACCUCUUUGCUUUUGCAAAGAACUUAUUAGAUUUGCAGAGUUGGUAUUAGAUUUGCUCAGUGGUAUGAGAACAUUACUAUUCUGUUAAAUUACUUUUUCAGUUAAUAAUAUAUUCUUUUCUACAAGGAUUUUUAUUUCUUAAGUCUUUUUUAACCUCUUUGCUUUCAGCUGUUUAGGGAAUUCAUUCUCACUUUCUGCCUUGAACUACUACAUAUGGUUAUUCUGCAGGGUGAAACAGCUCUCGCUCACUUCUCAAAUGGGUGCUCUGUAUGCUAAACUUUAUUUUUACUCCUUGAGCAGGGUGUCCAUCUUUUUACUGAUGGAAGAAAAACAAGAAGAACCUCCUGCAUUAUGAGGAAGCCUAGAUCAAAAUAGGUUCUUUACCCCAAGCUCUUCCAGGGCAAGGCUCAGCACUAACUUCUGGGGAAGCCCUCCUCAUACCUGAGCCUUUUCUAUCACAACAUGGAGAUGCAUUUUAUGAGCCCAUUCCUAAUGAAACAGAUCUCUGAGAUCCAAACAGUAUUACAUUAUUUGUAGUAUUUACACCUGUAAUGCCAACAGCGUUCUAAAUGAUUUGAAGAGAUGUUGGAAGACAAAGUCCCUGCCUAAAGAGCCUAAUAUUUGUAUUUUAUUCAAAAAAAAAAAAAAAAAAAUCCGUAUUUUGAGUCUGCAAGAUGGCGGAUUAAAAAGGCUUUUCUCCUUAAACUAGCUCACAGAAAUAUAACCCCCUGAAGGGAGAGAAGGAGACAGCUGUGGUGGGAAGGGAGCCAGCGCUACUGAGCACAAAGCGACUUUCAGCUGCCUCAUCCAGAGAUGCACUUUCCGCCUCAGCCUGGGGUCCUUACGGACACUUUUAUCCCUGGGAGCCCAGCUGGGAUCAGAGAGAGCUGGAUCUGCCGUGUUCCCCCUGCAUGGCGUUCCUUGAGCAGAAGUGAGACCCGGCCCUGUUCCAUCCAGGACAGAGGAACCAGGGUGGUGUGAUGGAGAUUUUGUCUUUGGAUCUGCCUGUUCAAACAGCAGCCCUCGCUGUCAGAGCAAAAUCAGAUAGCUCUUCCUUUUUGCCAGAAGUCAAGCGUGUAUUACACAGUUUCUGAGUUCUGUUUGCUGUGCACAGGUAGCACUAUUCCAAAUAUUUUGUCACAGUACAAUUAUUUGCUAUUUUUAUGUGUGGCAAAUCACAGUGUCAACUUUCUUUGUAAAAAUAUAUUAAAUUAUUGAAAAACAAAGGAAAACCAAGUAGUAGCAUAUGAAAGUAUCUUUUAGAAAAGGUUAUAUUUCUGCAUCAGCUAUACUUGAAGUUUAGUGAAGUAGGAUGCUUUUGCCAUAAUGGACAACAGCGAGAGUGAAAUGGAGCACAGAGCUCAGGGAGGGAACAGCAGACACGACUGAUAUGUUUUUGAGGAGAGGAAGGCAGACCCACCAUUACCUGUUGACUGUUGAGAAGCAAAGCUGACAACGGUAUUGAAGCUGUAAGUUCCAGCUUGUUGCAGAAUUUUAAUGUGUUUCCACAUGAGUGAUAUUUGGUUAGAUAUUGUAAGCACAGUACUGGAAAAUUUGGAUUAGCAAAUGAGCAAAUUAAACUGAAAUUUGGGUAAAGAGAUUUGAAAGUAGACAUAAGUGCUUCAGCUGUGAUUGGCUUUGCCCUCCAAGGAUUUGUAUUUUUUAUUUUUUUUUUAGUAGUCUGUGAAUUCUUACUGGAUUUGAAAUUGUUUCUUUUACAGAUGCCAGAGAUUUUGCAAGGAAAUCUGCUGGGGUUACAGAAGAACAGUAACAGAAUAACAAAACAACAACAGAAGAAAUCUAGGUGGAAAUUUAUAAAGUUUUGGCUUAGUGAUCUCUCUUAUGUGAAAUGCUCAUCACAGAUAAAAUUUCUGAGCUUAAUUCCUGGCCACAACACAAUGACAGAACCACUUAAUGUAAACCUCACUGUACCACUCUUAGUUCUCAAGAAAAGGUCCUACACUGCCAAAACACACAUCUGUCUUUGCAGGGUUAAUUAUUUUUGAAACCCAAGCGAGACACAAAGAAAACUGCUCAGAUAGACACAGGACAUAAAUAACUCUGGCUAUUAGCUGCACAGCGGGGAAAUCACCCAAAGGUGGCAGACAGGGGAGUCGGGUCCGCGGUGGACCCCAGGGUACACCAGCACGCCCAAGCACCUGCACCGGAGCUCCCUGCCAAACCUGCUAAGCUCAAUCCACUUCCAAACAAUGGCACUUUGAUUAACACAGGAGUCAGGAUGCUGUUGUAAACCAGCCUCGUGCUGACACUGAAAUGAACCAGAGAGUUCCUAUAUAAGAACUGAAUAAAGCAAUAAGCAUUAGUAAAAGAGAACAGCAGGUUGUGCGUAGCCCAAAUGACUCUGUCAUUGAAGAUUUGUCGUUUUUUGUAUAGGUUCUUAAGGAACAUUGCAGAAAUAUUAGAGAUAGCAGAACAGACAUGCAGAGCAGUCCGAUAACUUACCAUGAUAGUACCUACCCAGUCAAAAUUACAUCCAAGGCUUCCCUCUUCAAUUUGUGAGGUUAGAUCACACUGAUUUUAUCAGCAAGGUCAUUUUAGCACCCACGCUUAAUCCAAAAUCUAGUCUGAUAUUUGUUUAGGAGAUUUGAGUAAUCUCUUUAAGAGAAUUAACAAGUGAUGGAGUCCUAAAGAGCAAUCUUCUCUUAGCCCUAUCUGGAGCAGAAGGAUUUGAGGUCAAAGCUAGGUGAAGGGUUUUUUAAAGCAGUCUGGAAACAAACUGAAUUCUCUUUAGAGCCAGUCACGUUAUGAAGAAUAGAGGCACAAAGCCUUCAAAUGAUUGUAGGGGUUUUGUUGGGUUCAGUUGUCUGGCUGCCCUGGAGGAAACCCGUGAGGUGCUGCAUGAUGCUACAGCAUUGAUAACGUGAUAUGCAGAGGGCUUGCUCUGACAGGUUUCCCCACUGAGCCACAUACACCUGCAGUCCAUGGCCAAACAACAUGUGAACAUAUUGCUGCCUUUUCCAAUGUCACUGUAUGCUACCUGUUGGUCCUUCAUGAUACAGCACUGGCCCUGGAGCUGUGUGAUGGAGCUAACUUUUAGUUAUGGGAGCGAAUGGGACAAUUCAGUGAAACAAAGUCACUGAUGCUCAAAUACCAAGCUAUUAAGUCUUCAGUAAGUCUUAGUUCAGAAAUCAGUUGUCUUUUUUAAUGAAUAAUUAGAAAGAUAAUCAGUGGAUAUAAAGUCAAAUGUUCACUUGGGGCUCUUGGGUUAAAUUUUGGGAAGAGCUUUGAGGAAUUUGCUUUGAAUCCUUGCACCCAAAGCUGCCCUGUGUGCUCCAGCUGUUGGAUGAGUCUAAAAUAAAUGAUUUCUACAUGUUCUUGCCUGAGAAUAUGUGGCUGAAAUCACAUAAGAUUAGCCCUUCUCUUGCAGAUUGGUCCAAGAAAAUAACAAAAAUCCCACAAAGGCAGCAUUCCCACCAGACUCCUAUCAUGUCGGGCAGAACAGUCACCUACCAGCUCAUGGCAUUGUUAUACUAUUAACCCUUACACCCUUUUCCUUCCCAAAAGGCUGAUGAAUUUUUAUCUAGAUCCAGAAAUAAAAAACAACAUGUUGUCCUGUGGGGGUGGAUGCUACGGAUGCUCAUCUCAGGCACCCUGCCGUUUCACAGCUGGCAGCAACAGAUAAAUUUAUCAGUUGUCUGAGCCAAGAUUCACCAGAUGGAAUUGCAUCGCACUUAGAGGUAACAUUGCACUACAGCAGCCUCAAGAGUAGAGGUAGGUUUGGCUAUUAACUCAUCCCAGCUUCCAAGCUUUGGACUAAAAGAAAAUUUCGAACAUAACUGGGGAUCCUGAGGCCAAAUACCCCAAACUUAAGAGCACUUAAUACAGCAGCUGCAGCUGGCAGGGGUACUACAAUUCGCAGCAAAGCUUUACAGUGAAGCCAUAAGAAGGUUGUUAUCUUUGUUUGGCUGAUAAAUUGCAACAGCAAAGAUUUUACUGUAAAAACAAGUAAACCUCUCAUUGGACCAAAGAGAAGCAAUAUUAAAUCUCAUUCUUCCACAUUUGAGAGAAAUUUACAUAGAGGUCUGUUAAUGUUUUGGUAUUUGGAGAAAUGGCAGCUUAUAGGAGCAAAUGGAAUAACAUGUAUUCCUGAUCUCCUUGGCAAGGACUAUAAAAUCAAAAUAAAAGAGGUGUGGUGGGUAUUGGCUAAAGUAUCAAAGUAUUUCACAAAAGGCAGUAGGGAAUGUGGUAAAUAUUAAAAGAAAUUGUUGAUAAAUUCAAUAUAUCCUUGGCAGAUCCUCUGUAGGAGUACAGAUGACCCUUGUCUUUAAGUCACUUGCUGUCCUUGUUGAGAUCCACCAUUAAAUCACAUCCCAAUAUCCUCCUGUCUGGUGGCUGCUGCAGAACAGGGACGUGAGCAGAGGUGGGAAGAGGACACUGGGGACUGCCAGGCCUUGGGUCUGUGAGGGCUAAAAGCCUGACUGUAAUGCAGGUCUCCUUUUAAAUGAAUGAUGAGGACUUGCUACAAGGCAGACUGCCUAAAGGAAACAGUCAGACUUAUAUCAGAGGGCCUGUGCAAGUGUGGUCCACAAAACCACUGCUUGAAGUCACUCAAAGAUGUGGUGAGCCAGCCAAGAUGGCCCAUCAGGUGGGUGCUCUGGUAUGAGCAGUGGUGUUCCUGCAGAUCGUCUGAUGUGGUGCUUGUGCUGAAUGCAAGCCCUCAAGGGUUAAAUACUUAUCUUGGCACUUGCAAACUUCCGUAAUAAGAAAGCUUUAAAAGAAAGCAGCCAUCUGCUUCAGGAAAAGCAUCAUGCAAGGAUCAGCUUGUAUUGCUUACCAAAGCAGUGAGACAAGGAAUCAAACAAGAUGGGACAGGCAGCCUAAACCUCAACUGCUUUUAAGCUCUGCAGCAGGAGCUCAGCCGUCCUCAUGGUUUCACAGCGAUUUACAGUUACAAAUGUAAUGAAUGCCCCAACAGGAGGCUGGAGAGCCAGAGGUGACAGCACCAAAAAUGCCCGUGUACCCAGUCCCUGGCAGGGGACUACGGCAGGUGCUGACCAGCAGCUCUCUCCACUUGGAUGACCACAGGCACUGCCUUGGACUUUUCUUUUUCUGACACUUUAAAAACUGUCUGUCAGCAAAAUGAAGUAACAGGCAGUCCAGCUCCUUCUGCAUGGGAAAACAAAAUGAGCCCUCAGUGAAGGAACAGGGGAAGAAAGAGGUAUGUGGCAUUUCCAGCUGUCUUGGUGCUGUGUGGGAGCAGACAUGAGAAAUGACCCCCAUUGCUUAAGCCCUUAACUCUUAAUACUUUCUUCUGUUAAUGCCAGAUGGAAAAUCUCAAAGUCUGAAAAUGUAUUGAAAAUACACUACAGGAAGGCACACAGAGUUGAACGAGUCAUUGAGUGCUCAUUUCUUCAGUUCAGUACAUCUUGAUGUACCAUUCACUUCAGCAGAAGUGCUACCGGCUUCCUGGGAUCCAUUCCAGAUUUAUUCCAGGAACACUGAGCAGGUAUUGCCCAAAAUAAGGGACCCGUGAGGUUGCCAAAGAAAAACAUUGGGGUAAGAAAUGCUGGCUGCCACUGCCCAGACCAAAGGUUUGACCUGAACUUCAAGAAGAAGCAGAAUUUGGCCCAAUUCAGAUUCCUGGUUGCCAUAUCUUCCAGUGAUCAACCGGAAGAACUCCGGGCCAUGCUGGAGACCUAUGAGGCUCUGCAAGCUCAGGUAAGCUUUUGGAUGAUCAUUCAGAUGGAACCUUAAGUACAAAUAUGUAAUGUCUGUCAGUGCUAAUUAAGGUCUUGUAAUGGGCAUUUCUGCAAUAUUUAUGAUAGCCUAAAACCAGCUGAUCCUAUAUCAAGCUCAUCACUAUUUGCA